rnacentral:rRNA from 1 species
GACGAACGCUGGCGGCGUGCUUAACACAUGCAAGUCGAACGAGUGGCGAGCGGGUGAGUAUCACGCGGGUGCUCUGCCUUGCACUUCGGGGUACGCCUGGGAAACCCGGUCUCUAACCGGAUAGUGCAAGAUGAGCUCGGGGCCUAUCAGCUUGUUGGUGGGGUAAUGGCUACCAAGGCGCGACGGGUAGCCGGCCUGAGAGGGUGUACGGCCACAGUGGGACUGGGAUACCGGCCGGACGCCUACGGGAGGCAGGGGGGAGGGAUAGUGCACAAAGGGCGGAAGGAGUAAGGAGCGACGUCGCGUGGUAGAGGAAGGUCUUCGGGUUGGAAACUCCUUUCGACAGAGACGCGGUACCUGUAUAAGAAGCCCCGGCUAACUACGUGCCAGCAGCCGCGGUAAUAC